UACGGAGGGGGCUAGCGUUGUUCGGAAUUACUGGGCGUAAAGCGCGCGUAGGCGGACCUGCAAGUCGGGGGUGAAAUCCCGGGGCUCAACCCCGGAACUGCCUUUGAUACUGGGUAUCUCGAGUCCGGAAGAGGUGAGUGGAAUUCCGAGUGUAGAGGUGAAAUUCGUAGAUAUUCGGAGGAACACCAGUGGCGAAGGCGGCUCACUGGUCCGGUACUGACGCUGAGGUGCGAAAGCCAGGGGAGCAAACGGG
rnacentral:rRNA from 1 species